GCCUCUGUGGUCUAGUGGUAGAACUUCGCUUCAUGACCCUGAGGUCCCGGGUUCGAUUCCCGGGUGGGACC
rnacentral:tRNA from 1 species